AUGGCAUUAGUUUCUGCAAACAAUGUGUUUUCUGGCUUAGAGUUUGUCUUCUCUGUCUUGCUAAUUUGCUCUGAGGAAUCAAAGAAGGAGAUUUUCCACGAACAGAGUGAGGUAUGGAGUUUGGUCGGUGGCAGAUUGAGGGAGGUUAGGGAGUUAAGGUUCGUCUGUUAUGGUGUGAAAAGUGUCGGUGAAGAAGGAAGGGUUGAAAGUGAGAAGAGAUUGAAGGGUGAAGGCGGAGAACAUUGGGUCUAUGGCAGAGGAGGAGGUGUCGCCGGUAAACAUGGGUCCAUUGGUGUUUGA